rnacentral:rRNA from 1 species
AUUGAACGCUGGCGGCAUGCCUUACACAUGCAAGUCGAACGGCAGCACGGGAGCAAUCCUGGUGGCGAGUGGCGAACGGGUGAGUAAAGUAUCGGAACGUGCCCAGUCGUGGGGGAUAACGUAGCGAAAGUUACGCUAAUACCGCAUACGAUCUAUGGAUGAAAGCGGGGGAUCGCAAGACCUCGCGCGAUUGGAGCGGCCGAUAUCAGAUUAGGUAGUUGGUGGGGUAAAGGCUCACCAAGCCGACGAUCUGUAGCUGGUCUGAGAGGUCGACCAGCCACACUGGGACUGAGACACGGCCCAGACUCCUACGGGAGGCAGCAGUGGGGAAUUUUGGACAAUGGGCGAAAGCCUGAUCCAGCCAUGCCGCGUGCAGGAUGAAGGCCUUCGGGUUGUAAACUGCUUUUGUACGGGACGAAAUGGCUCUCUCUAAUACAGGGGGCUCAUGACGGUACCGUAAGAAUAAACACCGGCUAACUACGUGCCAGCCGCCGCCGUAA